GGUGAGUAACACGUGGGUAACCUGCCCUAAAGUCUGGGAUACCACUUGGAAACAGGUGCUAAUACCGGAUAACAACAAUAGCUGCAUGGCUAUUGCUUAAAAGGCGGCGAAAGCUGUCGCUAAAGGAUGGACCCGCGGUGCAUUAGCUAGUUGGUAAGGUAAUGGCUUACCAAGGCGACGAUGCAUAGCCGAGUUGAGAGACUGAUCGGCCACAUUGGGACUGAGACACGGCCCAAACUCCUACGGGAGGCAGCAGUAGGGAAUCUUCCACAAUGGGCGAAAGCCUGAUGGAGCAACGCCGCGUGAGUGAAGAAGGUUUUCGGAUCGUAAAGCUCUGUUGUUGGUGAAGAAGGAUAGAGGUAGUAACUGGCCCCUAUUUGACGGUAAUCAACCAGAAAGUCACGGCUAACUACGUGCCAGCAGCCGCGGUAAUACGUAGGUGGCAAGCGUUGUCCGGAUUUAUUGGGCGUAAAGCGAGCGCAGGCGGAAAGAUAAGUCUGAUGUGAAAGCCCCCGGCUUAACCGAGGAAUUGCAUCGGAAACUGUGUUUCUUGAGUGCAGAAGAGGAGAGUGGAACUCCAUGUGUAGCGGUGGAAUGCGUAGAUAUAUGGAAGAACACCAGUGGCGAAGGCGGCUCUCUGGUCUGUAACUGACGCUGAGGCUCGAAAGCAUGGGUAGCGAACAGGAUUAGAUACCCUGGUAGUCCAUGCCGUAAACGAUG
rnacentral:rRNA from 1 species